rnacentral:rRNA from 1 species
AUGUUUUGGCAUGUACCUGGACUUUCUGCCGCAUCACCGGUGGAUACUAUUUUAGACAAGGAAAAUUUUAAGUUGGAAGACCUUCUUGACGAGGAUGAAAUAAUCCAGGAGUGCAAAGCACUGAACACCCGCCUAAUUAAUUUUUUGCGAGACAAAGUUCAAGUCGAGUUACUGCUCCGCUACAUUGUGGAGGAGACACCUGAAGAUGCUGAAAAGAAGAGGAUAUUUAGAUUUCCUUUUAUAGCUUGUGAAAUAUUCAUAUGUGAAGUGGAUGUCAUCUUGAAGACAUUAGUGGAGGAUGAAGAUCUUAUGAAUUUACUUUUCUCCUUCCUGAAACCUGACCAUCCUCAUGGGACUUUAUUGGCUGGCUACUUUGGCAAGGUUGUUAUUUGCUUGAUGAUGCGGAAGACACUCCCACUUAUGAAUUAUGUGAAGAGCCAUCCUGAAAUAGUUAGUCAACUUGUUGAUCUUAUUGGGAUUACUUCUAUCAUGGAGGUGUUGAUUCGCUUAAUCGGCGCUGAUGAAACUAUGUAUUCAAGUUAUGCGGAUUCAAUGCAAUGGUUAGAUGACAUACAAGUCCUUGAGAUGAUUGUUGACAAGUUCAGCUCAUCCGAUUCUGCUGAGGUUCAUGCAAAUGCUGCUGAAAUCCUAUGUGCAGUGACUAGAUAUGCCCCUCCAGCACUUGCUACAAAAAUUUCCAGUCCUAGUUUUGUGGGGAGAUUGUUUCAUCAUGCUUUUGAAGAUUCAAGACCUAAAUCAGUGCUGGUCCACUCACUGUCAGUGUGCAUAUCUUUGUUAGAUCCUAAGAGACUUGUAUCUGCGUCCUACCAAGCUUUCCGUAGUCAGUUAAGUCAUGGAACAUUGGUCACUGCAAGUCCAGAAACAGUUAACGGCAUGCUGGAUAGCCUUGGUGAUUUGUUGAAGCUGCUUGAUGUUUCAUCAGCUGAAAAUAUUCUGCCGACAACAUAUGGCAGCUUACAGCCUCCUCUUGGAAAGCAUCGCUUGAAGAUUGUUGAGUUCAUCUCUGUCCUACUGUCUAUUGGUAGUGAAGUUGCUGAAAUGCGUUUGAUCGACCUAGGAGCAAUCAAGCAUGUUAUAAAUCUAUUCUUUGAGUACCCUUUCAACAAUUUUUUGCACCAUCAUGUGGAGAACAUCAUCGUUUCCUGUUUAGAGAGUAAACAGGAUCAUCUGAUUGCGCAUGUUCUUGAUGAAUGUGAACUUGUUACAAGAAUUUUAGAAGCUGAGAAGAACUCUGCUCUGUCAAUAGAUUUAACUAAGCGUACCCUAUCUUCAGAGGGAAGAACUCCACCAAGGGUUGGAUUUGUUGGUCAUAUUACACGCAUAGCCAACAAGCUCAUUCAGCUGGCCAACAGCAACAGCACAAUACAGUCACAUUUGCAGCAAAAUUCUGGUUGGACUGAGUGGCAUGCUAGUAUCCUAACAAAGCGUAACACGGUAGAAAAUGUUUACCAAUGGGCUUGUGGCCGGCCGACGUCAAUGCAGGAUCGAGGUAGGGACAGCGACGAUGAAGACUUCCGAGAUAGGGACUAUGAUGUGGCUGCACUUGCUAGCAAUCUGAGCCAGGCAUUCAAAUAUGGUAUUUACCCUAGUGAAGAUGUUGAUGAGGCUCAAGCAUCACAAGAGCGGGAUGACGAGGAUGUGUAUUUUGAUGAUGAAGCUGCUGAAGUAGUUAUUAACUCUCUUCGUCUUGGUGACGAUCCUGAUAGUGGCUCCCUGUUUACAAACUCCAAUUGGUUUGCGUUUGAUGAGGAUAAAGCACUGAAUGAUGGCCCAGAAGCUUCCCUUUCAGCAAAUUUGGAGUCGCCUUCACCAAAUGUGGAUGAUGAUGAUAUGGAUGAAGUCGUUCUUGGUGACCCUAUAGAUGACACAAAAGGCUCGGAUUCACUUUUAGCAACCUCUGACAGGGACUUAAAUGAAGGGUCUGGUCAAACAGUACUGUCAAAUGGCCCUGUUGAUAAAUUGGAAAAUGACAUCAGACCAUCAACUCCUGAUGUAAAAGAGAGUCCAGCUGAGUGUGUUGAAUGGACGGAGGAAGAUGCUGAACCUGGCGAGGUAUCAGAGAAUACUGCCGUUCCAUGUAGUGAGAUUGGAAGUGAGAAGGUGAUGGAUGCCACUGAUGGCGUUAUGCCUGGUACAGGACAAGUAGGAGAAGAACAAGGAAGUGAGAAUUUGGUUGAAUCCUUGGCUCCUGAUACCACAGUAGAAAAGACAUUACCACAUUCGCCGGAUGUCAAUUCAACUGGCCAUUCUGAACCAGCUGAUGGAAGCGCUAAUGUGGAAUCUCCCCUGGGUGAACAGAAGCAGGAAAAGGAGGAAAGUCAGGAGAAAUAA